rnacentral:lncRNA from 1 species
CUCAGAUUUCAUUGUUGUCUUCAGGAUUGCUCUUCACACUGAACCUAAUGGAAGCACUUAGACUAGUAGGUGAAAGCAAGCACAUACACUAAAUAUCACCGGAUAGACACCAGUGAAUAGUCUUCCUUUGAAUUUACAGCCCAAGAGGAUUAAUCUCACGAAGACUGCAAGGUCAUUAGUGCAAGUAUCCCACAUCAAGCACAGGCACCAGCAAAAUGAGCAUGUACAAAGAACCAUGCCUGAAAGAUGCAAAUCAAACAAGAAGCAGGCACCCAUUUCAAUACCCAGCCCCACCCACCCCAACCCUAUCGAAUACAGAAAGACUUCUUUGGGCCUUGAACUGCACUACAGAAAUGUCACCAGAUCCUGCAGUAUAUGGCAAAUGCCCAGGGGAAACAUAUGGGAAGCAUGUGUUGUGAAUUGGGGUGGGGGUUAUUAUUUUUUUAAUCAUUUCCAUAACAGAGCUUUAUGUUUUUUUGGUUGUCUUUUUUUUUUCCUUUCUUUUUUUCUUUCUUUCUUUCUUUUUUUUUUUUUUUUUUUCCCAAUAAUAUCACUGGAUUCAAUUUGAACACAAGUGUUAUUCUUC